rnacentral:snRNA from 1 species
AUCCGAGUGCAAGGGUUUUACGUUUCCAGUGAAGGUUCGCCUGAGGCAACGUUUUUGCUAGUUGAAAACUACAAACCAGUGACCGCUCUAGUUGGUCUUCGGAUCGGCUGGGAAUUUUUGAAAGAACGUAUUCAGUCUGCUCGAUGUGGACGUCUCGACGGCGUU